GUGAUCCCAGGGACUCAGGAGUCAUGGCAGAGGAAUUUAUUGCUUAGCAACCCAGACAAAUGUCAAGAGUCUUACCAAAUGCAGAUGAUGCUCUGUGGAAGAGACCUGCUUCAAGUCAGGUCAAGUAAAAACAACCUUGCCAGCAAGAUCCAUCAGUGAGGUCACUGAGAGAAGAGGAAACAUACACAAAGCUGCAUGAAAAAGAUAAUUCACCUUAUCAGUGCAACAGAAGUUUCAUAACAACGUAACUCCAGCAGGACACCUCCAUAUGAAUGGCUUUCCAUAGCACCAUACUGGGCAGAUUGCCAGCAAGUUCUACCAGCUUAGCACCACAGUGACUUCUCUGUCAUCUGGUGAGCCUAUGAUCGCCAAUAAAGGUCUGGAUCUCAGCCUGGGCUCUCUUCCUUGGAUCUAUGCUGAACCUAACUGGAAACUGGGUGGCAAGAGUUGAUACAGUCCACACAGGUCGGCCUCCUGGGCAGAGAUCAGAGUAGGACAGGAUGAAGAACACAUCUGGAGGGUCAAAGAGAAGCUAUGACACAGGGCUUCUCAUCCUCAGACUUUUUUCUGAAGGCAGAUGAAGCACCAAACCUCGGGUGAGCCAAUUAAGAACAAAUGGCGCAGUUACAGAAGACAGGAUGCAACCCUGCCACCUAUCUCUCUCUUUCAGAUGGUAAUCGUGUACCCAUACCACAGGACACUCCCCUUGGGUGCAUCUGCCAAACUGGGAAAAGUGUCCGUGUGCCUAAUUCUUCCUGGUUGUGUGACAAGACCUCGGACUGAGCUGAGCUAAGGAGCAGAAAAACUGCAACAAUAUGAGGGAAAAGACAGAAGGCAGACUGUGACAAAUGAAUUUAACUGUACUACAGAUGAAUUAGAUAACCACAAUGAAGAAGAUGGAAAGAAAGUUGAUGAUCUCCAUAACUUUAGAAAAUGCUUUGGCUUAAUAAUGCAAGGCUAAGGACAAAAAAUAAGUAUAUAUAGACAUAAACUUUAGUUGAUACAUUUGUUUCUCAGAGGGGAAGGAGCCAGAAAUUCUGAAACUACUUUAUUUGUAUAUUAGGGUUGAGCAAGCAAGUAAAUAUGUUAGAAUAUAAUGAGAACCAGGUUUCUCGCUGUCAAUGAAAGAAGCUACAAACAACAAAAAAAGGAAGGAUAAAAUGAACCGUGGUGUUGUAUAGGAGUUCUAGUUACCAAUGUGGAAUCGUGGUUUCUUUAAAACACAUCUAUCUACAUAAGUAGACAUAGAAACAAAUACAGAUGUGUAUAAGCAUGACUUUUUAUACAUAUGUAUUUUUUAUCUCUAUCUACUGAGAAAGCCAAAAGCAGCAGCACCCCAGUAGUCACAAAUAUCAGUGGCAUCCAGAUUUAGAUCUAUGAAUAUAAUUUUUCAAUUAAAAAGACAGGGCUCCUUGGAGGUCUACUUGACUCCAGGGUGAGGGUAAGAAAAAUUUAGGAGAAGUCUGAAGUAUCUGUGAUGACAGAAAAAAGAAAGCACUUAAAAAAUAAGGGAUAGAAGAGGGGAAACAAAGAAAAGAAUGGAGCAUAUAAAAAACACACAGGAACCAACCUAUCUGGGCACAAUGGUGUGCACCUGUAGUCCCAGGCACUUAGAAGGCUAAAGUGGGAAGAUCCCUUAAGCCCAGGAGUUCAAGCCCAGCUUGGGCAACAAAGCGAGACCCCAUCUCUUAAAAACAAAGAAGCCAAUAUGAAUGGUCAAAGUUGAAAAAUAUUGAAUAAGAAAAUAAAUAAUGAUAUUGUUAGAUUAUAAUGAAAAUAAUCAGAUAAUAUCCAUGAGCUUACACUAAUGCAAAUAAAUUAAUGGAUUAAUAAAAUAAAUAGAGGAAAAUACCAACUCUUCAGAAAAAAAUACAAUUAAUAAAGAUAGAAGGAAUGAUAGAAAUAUGAUAUUAUUACUAGAAUCUCAAAGGGAUAAUUGCUCCAGGUAAGAUCCAGCAGUGAAUGUUCAAAUUAGUGGAUAAAAAAAUAUUUUCCGAAACAGGAUAUUUGCAUAGUCUCUAAGUGCCUCUCUCAAAAUAAUUAGGAACCACAAAGAGAUAAAUAGUAAAUAUACCAUGGAGAGGCUAGCAGAUACAACCUUAGUCAAGUGAUCAAGGUGAGCCUCACCAGCAAUGACUUAUGUGAUAUGCCUCCUUCCCCUAUAUGAUAUUACCAAAGAGUACUUCACUUCUGUACUAUUCUUACCACAUAAUCCAUAACCACUGCCUGAACAUGGGAAAACAUCACACAAAUCAUUUGGUGGACACUCUACAAAAUAAAUAAUCAGUAUUCUUCCAAAUAUCAGCGUCAUGGAUAAGGGAGCCUAAGGAAUUGUCAUAGAGUACCUAAAACCAAAGAGACAUGUCACAUAAAUGCAAUGUGGGAUCCUGAACUGAAUUCUGAAACAAAGGAAAGGUCAUUAGUGAAAGACAGUAUUUUACCAAUGUUAAUUUCUUAGUUGUGAUCAAUAUUCCAUGUUAGAUGUUAAUGUAAGGGGAAACUAGGUAAGAGUAUAUAGGAAUUAUGUGUAGCAUUUUUGCAACUCUUCUGUAAUUCUGAAAUUAUUUCAAUUUUUAAAGGUUUUACCUAUGAAAGGGAUAAAGGAUUUAGGAUUAUGGGUCAGGGACAGCCAUUAGAUUUUUUUAAUGAAUACGUUUUGUGUAAUUAUGAUUUUUGAACUAUAUGAAGCUAUUAAUAAUUUAGAACUAAAUUUAAUGUUUUAAAAUAAAUACAAAUAAAAGGAGGUUUUUAAAAAAAUUUAUACUUUAGUUUCUAAAUUGUAUACAGGUUUUUCACAUGGAAUAUGAUAAAAUAAUAUGCACUAUUAGAAAGAAAAUAUGUAAAAAGUAUAACAAAAUUAAAAGAUUUAUGUAGAGUUGGUGGCAGAAAGUAUUCAAGCUUUGAGACCUCAUAACAUCAAAAUGAAGUUUCCAUUGCUAUUGUUUGUGAAGUACAAAAGUACAUUACCAGCUAUGUCAGAAAUAAUUUAGAGAUAAUAGGAAUACCCUGCCUUAAUUAAACUCUUAGUAAAUGUUCAAUGAAUGAGUCACUGUCAUGUUUCUCUGUCUCUUCUACAGACCUCAGUGGACUUGUUCCAAGGAAAAGGAAAGAGGGAUGGAGCAUGGUUUUAUGGCAGCCUUUCCCCAGAAUGAAAUAUACUUUGAGCACAUGAGCUCAUGAGCAGGAGAAAACUGAUCGGAAGGACAUGAUGGCCAUACAAACCUUGUCCUGCAAUAUUCUGCCAGCUUUUUCUCAAGAUGCAUAGAAACGUGAAGCAAGUGACAGCCACAUCACCAAUUUUAUCCAUAAUUACAAAAUGCAGCCCUAUUUCAGUGAUGUUCAAAGGGGACAGGUAGAAUGGCAGUUAUGAAAGCCAGAGGAAAUCAAGAUAUUUGGCUUCUAUGUGAUCUUAGUGUUUAUUAAGAACCUCCACACAGACAAAAGAUGUAAAAGGCCUGAUCCUAGACUGAGGGAAUUCAUGAUAUUGUCUCCAAAUUGUGUGAGAAAAAUUUGUGAUCCAUUCAAGUCCAUUUAUUUGACUUAGCCUCACAGAUACUUCCUCAAUUUUCCCUUCCACCAAGUUAGGAUCAAUAGCAUCUCCUGGGCAUGGAGCUGUCUUGGCAGUCUCUGAUCACUGAGCUUUCUCAGGAAGUACUCUGUCUUUUUGAGCAGAAGGAUUUUUAUAUUAAGGGGAAAGGUGGCUUGUACAUAGCCAUGAAGCAUAAGGAAAGGAGAAAAGCUAAUAUAAAAAUGUAUUGUUGAGAUCACUGCUAGGGCAACAGAGGCUCAAUUCCAUUGACAUGCUGAGAAGUAUACAGAAGGCCUCCCAGAAUUGUUCAACUUAAUGCUCAAAUACAGCACUUCAAUAACAAUUUGAGUGACCUAGGCUUGCAGCUGACAUAGUGUCCAGGUGAUUGCCAGCUAAUCAAAGUGAUGAAAUUUAUCAAUCUGAAAUAAUUCACCUGAAGAUGUACAGCUAUAGUACAUAUUAUGAAAUUAUUGGGAAGGUGCAAAUUAUAUAUUGUGGAAGUGAGUGAUCUAAAUAAAAAACUGCAAAGUAAGUUAACUAAUACAUGAAGCAUUUUAAAUCAAGCAAUUUUAAGAUGUUGAGUGAGAAAUAAACUAUCUAUAAAAAUAAAAGUAAGGGA
rnacentral:lncRNA from 1 species